rnacentral:rRNA from 1 species
AGAGUUUGAUUAUGGCUCAGAACGAACGCUGGUGGCGUGUCUUAUACAUGCAAGUCGAGCGAGGCAGCAAUGCCGAGCGGCGAACGGGUGAGUAACGCGUAAGCAAUCUGCCCCGUAUCAGGAAAUACCCGUGCCAACGCGCGGUUAAUGUCCAGGAGAGUGGGAGCCUGCAUGGGCUCUUGACUAGAGAUUUAUCGGUACGGGAUGAGCUUGCGUCCGAUUAGCUAGUUGGCGGGGCAACGGCCCACCAAGGCGACGAUCGGUAGCCGGCCUGAGAGGGUGAUCGGCCACAUUGGGACUGAGAUACGGCCCAGACUCCUACGGGAGGCAGCAGUAGGGAAUAUUGCACAAUGGGGGAAACCCUGAUGCAGCAACGCCACGUGUGGGGAAAAGAAGCAUUUCGGUGUGUAAACCACUGUCAUGAGGGAAUAAGGCCUGUCUUCGGGCAGGACUUGAAUGUACCUUGAGAGGAAGCACCGGCAAACUUCGUGCCAGCCGCUGC